CGUAAACUUACGUUCCCAACCAGACGAACAUCUCAUAUUUUCAAAAAUGGCGUCCAUCAAAGUUAUAGACGAGCAAUUUAAAAAUCGCCUUUUCCUGGUGUUUAUAUUUGUUAAACGAAAAGAAUUGUUAAGAAAAAUGUGAAUAUUUAUCUCUCCGCGUGACGUAAAGCAUCAUAAAUUUUGAAUAAUGAGAUAUGCAAAACAUCCCGGAAAUGAUUGCAUUAAUAAUGAGAGGCAUGGGCAUCCACAGAAAAUUUCCCAGGGUGAGUUGGAGACAAAAUAAUUUCAUCAAUAAAUUAUUUAAUUUUGGAGGUUUCAUAAGCAUAUUAUACUUGUAGAAUACAACAUUGCAUCAAUACAAAAAACAUCUUUUCUCAAACAAUCUUACACUGUCCCACGGUGGGGCACUUGCCUCCCUCUGCGGACCCCAUGCAUUUAAGCCUACGACUGUACUGAAUUCCAUAAAUAAUAUGAAAAUGUAAUCCAUUAAACUCUUACAAAAUUGUAAUAAUCACAAUUUUCAAAAAUAAUUAAAUGAUAAUUUUAAGAAUUAUGUAAACUGUAGUGUUACCUAAUCUCGUUAUCGGCUAAAAAUAUUAGCAAAUAUUAUUAAAAUCAUCAUUUUGUAAAAGUGGAGAAAGAAUUUCGCAGGGAUAAGUUCAAUGCACUCAGCUUUUUUACUUUGAAAGCAGCGGUCGAAAAAUACAGUACAACAAACACUCAUACAGCACUUCUCGAUUUAUAAAAAUACACAUCUGAGCAAAUGAACAGAAAUAAGCAUUUAGAAUUUGUGGCAAAUGAUGAAAUCUCAAAUAAAGUAGUAUUAGUAUUAUAUAAAUCUAUAAAAAAAAACAACUCAAUAGCGAUAAAACUGGCAACAGAAGUUUCAGACUGGAAAUCAAUAAAUUGUGCCGUUCGACAAGCUGCCUCUUCAUACAGCUACUCUUAACCAUUUAUAUAAUUAUAAAUAAAUAAAUUCGAGACGAAAAAUACACGGAAGCAUCACGUUACAUAAUAAUUACGCUGACACCACGCAUACAAGUAAAUAUUCUUGGAUAAUAACAAGAAAAGAAUUUCAAAUAGCAGUACAUCUAUUGUGUUACGUCAAGAAAUUUUUAAAAAAAUGGAAUUAUCACGUACAGAAGGAACCAAUUCGGAACACGUCACGCAUUUUAAAACAGUUCUGUAACAAGUGAAGCUUUUCGAAUAUUUUGGCUGUGGACCUAACGUUUUCGGGAGAGGAGACGUAGUACGUAAUAAAAUUCAAAACUGCACAAUAAUAAAUCAUGUUUUCAAUCCAAUACAAGUUCAAAGACAUACCAGAAUUAAAGCUUAUGAAAUAAUAGAAAGCCACCGCUCACUUAUGGCAAUAAAAUAUGAAUAAUUCAGGAAGAGGGAUGAAGGACGAUUCAUUUUAGCUGAAAGGAAAUUCUUCGUAAGAACGUCGACUACUACUUGAUAAAAUUUAAAAAAUGAAGUCAGUAAAUAACGUCGAAAUAACCCUAAUAACAGAAUAUAUACCCCACUAUAACGUAUACCACAAAGAAGAUAAAACUGGAUUACAACAGAGGAUCUUUAGAUACAUCUCCAGUGGAUAGAGAUUACAAGAAGACCAAGCAAAAUGUAAUAGAAGAUAAUAGGAUUUUAAUUGUCUUCUCCUUUUUCUGUACACUGUAUAUCUUAUAUUUUUUUUAGAAAUAUAAAAUAUAUGACAGAUUCCUUAUAUAUAAAACAAACUUUUCUUCAUGAUUUACGCUUCUUGAACAUCGGAGUUAUCAUUCAAUUAGAUUUAUAAAUAUCAUUUUUUAAGUAUGGAAAAGGUUAAAGGUCGCUACUCCUGGCUUUAAAAACUAAACUGCUCCGUUAAAACAAUUAAAUUAUAGAAAAAUUCGCCAUCUUCUUAAAUCAAAUCUGUUUUAUGAGCAUCGUAACACAGAGUUACUCCAUUAAAAAAUAAAUAAAUUGAAUGCUUGAUAUGGACAUGAAUUAAAACUGUAUCGGAAAUUCAAAAACAGGUAUUAUCUCUAUGGUUUUUUUCGU